rnacentral:rRNA from 1 species
GAGUUUGAUCCUGGCUCAGAUUGAACGCUGGCGGCAGGCCUAACACAUGCAAGUCGAGCGGAUGAAGGGAGCUUGCUCCUGGAUUCAGCGGUGGACGGGUGAGUAAUGCCUAGGAAUCUGCCUGGUAGUGGGGGAUAACGUCCGGAAACGGGCGCUAAUACCGCAUACGUCCUGAGGGAGAAAGUGGGGGAUCUUCGGACCUCACGCUAUCAGAUGAGCCUAGGUCGGAUUAGCUAGUUGGUGGGGUAAAGGCCUACCAAGGCGACGAUCCGUAACUGGUCUGAGAGGAUGAUCAGUCACACUGGAACUGAGACACGGUCCAGACUCCUACGGGAGGCAGCAGUGGGGAAUAUUGGACAAUGGGCGAAAGCCUGAUCCAGCCAUGCCGCGUGUGUGAAGAAGGUCUUCGGAUUGUAAAGCACUUUAAGUUGGGAGGAAGGGCGAGUAAGUUAAUACCUUGCUGUUUUGACGUUACCAACAGAAUAAGCACCGGCUAACUUCGUGCCAGCCGCCGCCGU